ensembl:snRNA U6 U6 spliceosomal RNA
GUGCUCGCUUCAGCACCACAUAUACUAAAAUUGGAACUAUACAGGUAAGAUUAGCAUGGCCCCUGUGCAGAACACUGAGUACAUUAUAUAUGAAGUAUAUUU